rnacentral:lncRNA from 1 species
GAUACUCGAUUCUAGAUCCUGACCCGAAUAUUAGCGGCGUGUAAUUUGUGUUGAUAAACUUGAAUCGCGAAAUGGCCUGUUUAUUAUCGGUGGCAAUUAUGUAGUUCACUUUUUCAGCAAUAAAACGACACUAGCAUUUGUUUCAAGCUCUAUUUUAUUCUUCCAAGAAAUAAAGUCAUCAUGGUUGGAAAACUCUAUUGUAUCCUAUUGCAUAGGAAUGCUAUGAGAAGUUUCAUAAUGUUUAAUAAAGUCCUUUUUAAAAGUUGCAUGAUAAUUACACACAGAACAUUUAUGAUGAAAUGUUUUAGUUUCUGCAUAAACUGAUACAUUUGUGUGCACUUUUUUGACAUGAAAGUUUAAACUUGACUUAUAUCUAAAUUGUUUAUCACAAUGUGUGCACUUAUAGACGUUGCCUUUAAGCACUUUUAAAGGGGCAAUUGCAUCCAAUUUGUCGGGAUGCGAACUUUUUACAUGUCUUUUUAAAUCAUGUUUAUGUUUAUACACUUUUUCGCAUUUCACGCACUUAUUAAUUCUUUCCACACCUAACAUUUUCGAUGUCAAGAAAAUGAAAUACAUACUCAAAAGCAAACACAAACGCACAACUGUAAACAGUAGAAAUGAUUGAAUCGGAAAAUUGAUCUAACAGCUUCACUGUUCAAUUGGUAAUUAUACAAAGAGUCUACAUUCUACCACAUCCAAUAAUAUUUUAAUAUUAAAUAUCAUGUAACCGCAGUAAAUAUCGGUUUUUAUUAUCACUAACUAGUCUUUUCAGCGUUUUAAAUAACUCAAAUUUCGUCGAUGUUUAUAUAGGCAACCCAAAUUACACGCCGCUACCCCUCGGGUCAAGAUUUAGACAGAAUCAUUUUACUCGGACCGAAGAGUGACUGUCCUUGAAAAUUUUUCAAAUAAAGAACAGAGCUCCUGUUAGAUAUAAAAUUUUUAAUGGACUGCGCGUGCGUGCUAAGGUUAUUGCAACUUUAAUAAUUAUUUUCAGUGCAAAAAAAAGCCUGAUCAAUGUUCAAUAUAGGUGAUCAUUGGUCAGCGCUUUAUUUCCUAUCGAAUACAGUCAUUCGUUUUAAAGAUUUCGAUCAAUGAGGUGCCAACAUCUUUUUUUUCGUCCUUGAAUUUUCAACCCUUAAUAAAAAAUAAACUACAGGUGAUCAAAAUCUGAAACCUAGUGAUCAUUGCUGUACAAACCGUGAGCAAAAGAAUGGUAUAAUUAUUUUUACGAAAUUCGAUCAAUGAGGUGCUAACAUCUCAUAACCCCUACUCCCUAAUCUAUUAACCUUGGGCGCUAGUACUCACUGAUAUGACACACGACACUGACACAUGACACAUUUGCUCUCGCGGGAUUUGAUGAUUUUAAUCACAUGACAAAAUCCACAAUUUCAAUUGGACCAUGAUAGUCGUGACGUCAAAACGUCAAAAAAGUUUUCCAAACACGUUAUGUCUAGGUACACGCUAAAAUGUACGCAAAUAAAAAAGUUAAACUUCAUCAAGCUAGUGACUAUUUAGCGUGGGCAGUGACUGUAUAUUUUGAGACACGCUAUUUUGAUAUGUUUAGUGUUUGUUUGAUGGAAAAAUAUUUGUUAUGACGUUUAAUUCUACCUAACAUUUUUAUUUGCGUACACGUUAGCGUAUACCUAGACACAACGUGUUUGAAAAAAUUUGACGUCACACUAUCACGGUCCAUUGUACGUUGUUCGACGCAAGACGCAAUUGCAUUUUGUUUGAUUUUGUCUUUGUUCUGUUUUUUUAAAAAUUGAGCUAAGACUGUGUUUUACCAUUAUUGAAAUGGAAGAACAUAAAAUAAUACGUAAAUGUGUUCCUGGUUGUACCGACUGGACAAGCAAUCGAUUACGUUUUCCAAAUCCCCAACAUGAAAUGGACAUGUUCUUGGAAUGGAUGAAACUUAUCAAGAGGAAUCAAUUAAGCAUUUUAAAGAAGAAGACAUUUUACCAAACGUGAAAUCUGGAAGGAGAGGGAUUAUCAGAAGCGCAAUCCCGAGCUUAUUUUUACCGCCACUAGCAGGUCAGGGUGAAUAGAUGCCUAAGCUCAGAAUGGGACUCAUUUCCAUGGAGUAUAACGUGGAUCCCUGCACAAGGAUAUAGGCGAAGACCAGAAUAGCAGCAAUCACUUACAAAUUAUAUCUGUGAUAUUAUACUUCUGUAAUAGGGCUUUUAGCUUUAGUAAACAAAUGACUGUGAAUGAAAAGCCCUAUUCCAUGCAAAUUUUGAUUGCUCAAAUAAGUUUAUAAAGUAAAUUACAUAAAUAAAUACAUUUUUAAGAA